CAAUAGCGUAUAUUAAAGCUGUUGCGGUUAAAAAGCUCGUAGUUGGAUUUCUGUCAAGGACAACUGGUCCGCCCUCCGGGUGAGCACAUAGUUUGGUCUUGGCAUCUUGUUGGAAACUGUUGCUGCGCUUGGUUGUGUGGUGCAGCUUUCAGCACUUUCACUUUGAGGAAAUUGGAGUGUUUCAAGCAGGCACAUGCCUUUGGACACAGUAGCAUGGAAUAAUUAGAUUGGGCUUUUGCUCCAACUUGUUGGUUCCUGGAGCUGAGGUGAGAAUCAAUGGGGAUUGUUGGGGGCAUCCGAAUUUAGCCGUCAGAGGUGAAAUUCUUGGAUCUGCUAAAGACGGACAACUGCGAAANCGNNNGCCCAGGAUGUUUUCAUNGA
rnacentral:rRNA from 1 species